AUACCACUCUAACAAUGCUAGGAUUCUAACCCUAUGUCGUUAUCCGGCUAGGGGACAGUUUCAGGUGGUCAGUUUGACUGGGGCGGUCGCCUCCUAAAAGGUAACGGAGGCGUGCAAAGGUUCCCUCAGGCUGGUUGGAAAUCAGUCGUAGAGUGUAAAGGCAUAAGGGAGCUUGAUUGUGAGACAUACAAGUCGAACAAAGACGAAAGUCGGCCUUAGUGAUCCGGCGGUACCGAGUGGAAGGGCCGUCGCUCAACGGAUAAAAGUUACUCUAGGGAUAACA
rnacentral:rRNA from 1 species